rnacentral:rRNA from 1 species
GCGUGAGUGAAGAAGGCUUUAGGGUUGUAAAACUCUUUCACCGGGGACGAUGAUGACGGUACCCGGAGAAGAAGCCCCGGCUAACUCCGUGCCAGCAGCCGCGGUAAUACGGAGGGGGCUAGCGUUGUUCGGAAUUACUGGGCGUAAAGCGCGCGUAGGCGGUUUGCACAGUCAGGCGUGAAAUCCCGGGGCUCAACCCCGGAACUGCGUUUGAUACUGGUGAACUAGAGGACGGGAGAGGGUAGUGGAAUUCCCAGUGUAGAGGUGAAAUUCGU